AACUUUUAGCAAUGGAUUUCUUGGCUCUCGCAUCGAUGAAGAACGCAGCGAAAUGCGAUAUGUAAUGUGAAUUGCAGAAUUCAGUGAAUCAUCGAAUCUUUGAACGCACCUUGCGCUCCUUGGUAUUCCGAGGGGCACACCCGUUUGAGUGUCGUGAAUAUCUCAACCUUCUCGGUUUCUUCUGGAUGCCGAAGGAGGCUUGGACUUUGGAGGCCUCUGCUGGCAUCUUUUGAAGGCCAGCUCCUCUCAAAUGAAUUAGCGGGGUCCUCUUUGCCAACCCUCGACAUGUGAUAAGAUGUUUCCAUGUCUUGGUUUAUGGCUCUGUUGCUUUUGGGACCCGCUUCUAAUCGUCUCAAUGACAACGUUCGAGCGUGUCGAACACUCUUGAACCCACGAACCCUUGACCUCAAAUCGGGUGAGACUACCCGC
rnacentral:misc_RNA from 1 species